rnacentral:rRNA from 1 species
AUUGAACGCUGGCGGCAUGCUUUACACAUGCAAGUCGAACGGUAACAGGCCGCAAGGUGCUGACGAGUGGCGAACGGGUGAGUAAUGCAUCGGAACGUGCCCAGUCGUGGGGGAUAACGCAGCGAAAGCUGCGCUAAUACCGCAUACGAUCUAUGGAUGAAAGCGGGGGACCGUAAGGCCUCGCGCGAUUGGAGCGGCCGAUGUCAGAUUAGGUAGUUGGUGGGGUAAAGGCUCACCAAGCCGACGAUCUGUAGCUGGUCUGAGAGGACGACCAGCCACGCUGGGACUGAGGCACGGCCCAGACUCCUACGGGAGGCAGCAGUGGGGAAUUUUGGACAAUGGGCGCAAGCCUGAUCCAGCAAUGCCGCGUGCAGGAAGAAGGCCUUCGGGUUGUAAACUGCUUUUGUACGGAACGAAACGGUCCUGGUUAAUACCCGGGGCUAAUGACGGUACCGUAAGAAUAAGCACCGGCUAACUACGUGCCAGCAGCCGCAGUAACAC